UCCCGUCAGAAAGGGACAUGCGCAGUGAGUGCCUCCCGUCUCUUCUACCCGAGCCCCCCCUCCCCCCCAAGCAGAGAGACCCCAGCAGCAGCAGCAGCUGAUGAUGAAGAGAGAGGCAGUGGCAGAGGGGGGGCACCUUUUAUUUCUAUUUUUAAAGGGACAGGACACUCAUUUUACCCCACUUCAACCUUGAAUUGAGGGGGGUGGGGGGAAGGCGGCUGAGUUCCUCCCCCACCCUCCAGCUCCGAGCCCUGAGUGGGGGAUUGAGCCGGAGAGAGGAGAGGAGUUUCUUCUUCUUAGAAAACCCCCAUCCACGACUCCUACCCCCUCAGCCCCUCUACUCGCCUGCUCCCUGAGCCCCUUCCACCCUCCUUCUCUGUGGCCGUGAGAGGAGGAGAGAAAGAGACCAAAAGCCUCUUAGCAACACAGACCCUUUGCUGUUGCUGCUGCUGCUGUUGCUGCUGCUGCUGCUGCUGUUGCUGCUGCUGCUGCUGCUGCUGUUGCUGUUGCUGCUGCUGCUGCCGCUGCUUGGCCCUGGCUGGAGACAUCUCCCUACACUGGGAGCAGCCACUUCCCCAGCUCUCCUCCUCCUCAAUUGCCUCCUCCUCCUCCACUCCCCCCCUUUAUUACCCUUUGUGUCAUCCUCCACAGCUCCAGGGAAGGCACUCAAAAGUGGGGGGCAGGAAAGGAUAGAAACCUACAAACUUUUUACCUUGGAUGAAAGACUUGAUUUGAAAAUCUGUGUUAACAAUCCUAACUGGCCUGUCAGUAUUUGCUACACCAAGUUCAUUACAACUUUAUGAUAGCAUUGGAGAUGUCCACUUCUGCCCCUGUAAGAUAGAUAUUGAAGGCUGUGUGGUUUAAUCAAUAUAAAGAAAUUAGACACUCAGAACCAAGAAAAUAAAUACAAGAAGUCAAGAGCAUAGAAUAUUUUCUUCCUUCAAUCCACAGAACCCUGAAACUCUUCUAACGCCAUCAAGCACACAGGAAGGCCACUUUGGCAGAUGGCCACAGAGGAUGUCAACAAUUUU